rnacentral:lncRNA from 1 species
GAAGAUCUACUACUUGUUACCCUAUAUAUGAUUCGACCUCAUGUUUGUAAGAAUAUAUAUAGAUUUCUUGAGGGAUUUGACUAGCUGCUGCAUUUCAAAAUGAGUAUUCGAGAUUUAGUUUUCAGAACCACAUGAUCUUCCAUUAAUCACUGCGUAUUUUCUUUCUUUGAAGUCAACUAUUUUACUACAUGCAACUGAUCGAUGAAACAUAUGCACAACGUACUGCACUAUCAAUGGCUUAAAAUUUAGACAAUAGUCAUGAUAGCGACCGAAACCGGGCGUUUCAAUUAAAAACUCU